rnacentral:rRNA from 1 species
GUUGAACGCUGGCGGCAGGCUUAACACAUGCAAGUCGAGCGGGGGAAGGUAGCUUGCUACCGGACCUAGCGGCGGACGGGUGAGUAAUGCUUAGGAAUCUGCCUAUUAGUGGGGGACAACAUCUCGAAAGGGAUGCUAAUACCGCAUACGUCCUACGGGAGAAAGCAGGGGAUCUUCGGACCUUGCGCUAAUAGAUAAGCCUAAGUCGGCUUAGCUAGUUGGUGGGGUAAAGGCCUACCAAGGCGACGAUCUGUAGCGGGUCUGAGAGGAUGAUCCGCCACACUGGGACUGAGACACGGCCCAGACGCCUACGGGAGGCAGCAGUGGGGAAUAUUGGACAAUGGGGGGAACCCUGAUCCAGCCAUGCCGCGUGUGUGAAGAAGGCCUUAUGGUUGUAAAGCACUUUAAGCGAGGAGGAGGCUACUCUAGUUAAUACCUAGGGAUAGUGGACGUUACUCGCAGAAUAAGCACCGGCUAACUCUGUGCCAGCAGCCGCAGUAA